rnacentral:rRNA from 1 species
GACGAACGCUGGCGGCGUGCUUAACACAUGCAAGUCGAACGGAAAGGCCCUGCUUGCAGGGUACUCGAGUGGCGAACGGGUGAGUAACACGUGGGUGAUCUGCCCUGCACUUCGGGAUAAGCCUGGGAAACUGGGUCUAAUACCGGAUAGGAGCCAUUUUUAGUGUGAUGGUUGGAAAGUUUUUUCGGUGUAGGAUGAGCUCGCGGCCUAUCAGCUUGUUGGUGGGGUAAUGGCCUACCAAGGCGGCGACGGGUAGCCGGCCUGAGAGGGUGGACGGCCACAUUGGGACUGAGAUACGGCCCAGACUCCUACGGGAGGCAGCAGUGGGGAAUAUUGCACAAGGGGCGCAAGCCUGAUGCAGCGACGCCGCGUGGGGGAUGACGGCCUUCGGGUUGUAAACGCCUUUCGCUAGGGACGAAGCUUUUUGUGACGGUACCUAGAUAAGAAGCACCGGCUAACUACGUG